ACGGGUGAGUAAUACAUCGGAACGUGCCCUGUAGUGGGGGAUAACUAGUCGAAAGAUUAGCUAAUACCGCAUACGACCUGAGGGUGAAAGUGGGGGACCGCAAGGCCUCAUGCUAUAGGAGCGGCCGAUGUCUGAUUAGCUAGUUGGUGGGGUAAAGGCCCACCAAGGCGACGAUCAGUAGCUGGUCUGAGAGGACGAUCAGCCACACUGGGACUGAGACACGGCCCAGACUCCUACGGGAGGCAGCAGUGGGGAAUUUUGGACAAUGGGCGAAAGCCUGAUCCAGCAAUGCCGCGUGUGUGAAGAAGGCCUUCGGGUUGUAAAGCACUUUUGUCCGGAAAGAAAUGGCUCUGGUUAAUACCUGGGGUCGAUGACGGUACCGGAAGAAUAAGGACCGGCUAACUACGUGCCAGCAGCCGCGGUAAUACGUAGGGUCCAAGCGUUAAUCGGAAUUACUGGGCGUAAAGCGUGCGCAGGCGGUUGUGCAAGACCGAUGUGAAAUCCCCGAGCUUAACUUGGGAAUUGCAUUGGUGACUGCACGGCUAGAGUGUGUCAGAGGGGGGGUAGAAUUCCACGU
rnacentral:rRNA from 1 species